rnacentral:lncRNA from 1 species
AUAGAAGCGCCUGCAGGUCACUCCCAUUUGCCAGGCUGUUGAACUCCACUAAUUUUGAGGGCAGUGCAGGGUAACGCUGCUGGGAAAGCGUCAUCAGCCUCUUGAUUGACUGAAGGUACUUGCGAGUGGUCUCGUCAUUCAUGAUGUGGGCGACGUUGUUUGUGUGGAUCUUCUCUCGGGCAGAACGCUCGUGGAUGCCAACCAUAGUCACUCCAAUGGGCCAUGGUGCAUUCCCGAUUGCCAGCUUGAUGUAUUGGUCCAUUGCCGCUAGAUAAUCUCGCUUCAUGCAACACUCCACAAUAACAAGCAAUGCUCGACGGAUGUCAUCAGGAAGAACCUAAAAAUGGAUCCAGCCAUACAUGCAUUAGAAUCAGUGAAGCAUGCACCAAGAAACUUGUUGAAAAAAAUAGUUGUCAACGGUAUAAACAUAAUCAAUAUUCAGAUGAGCAUCAAUAUUAAUAGCACAAUUUAAGCAACCAACAGAUGGAAAUUGCAUAAGAAUCAAUACCUUCUUUCUGCAGAACUCAAACAACGGGCUGAGAUACCGUGCACACUGCUUGAAUGUUGCAACCAUGGACUUCCCCUUUGCUGUCCGCUUCUCUAGCUCAGUCAUCUCAUCCAAUUCCUGGUUCCACUCAUUAAGCAGCUUCUUAAAGAACACCAAGAUCUUGUCUUCAUUGCAAAGCUCCUCAAACUUGGUCCUCAUCCUCUUGGAGUCCUUGUCUGCGUCAACAUCAUCGCCGCUCCCCUUGGCAUCCCCAUCAUCUGCACUGCCUCCGGCAGCACCCCAGUCGCCGCCAUCAACACGCUUGCUCUUGCCCUUGGCGUAGGUGUCCCUCCCGGCCUUCUGCCGCUUGCGCAUCUCGAUCAUGUCGCGGAGGAAGUCGUUGGUCUGUCCCUCGGUCAUGUCGAUGUCGUCGAUGACGCCGGACUUGAGCACGAGCUUGAAGCGCGCGAGGCGGGCGUCGUCGUUCUCCCCGAACAGCGUGACGGGCUCGCGCAGCACGCGGAGGCGCCGCACCACCUCGUGCCGUGGGAGGUCGAGCUCGUCGAUGCGACGCUCCUCGGAACCGGUAGCAGCUGCGGCGGAAUUCGCGGAGGGCGCCGACGUGCCGGCCUUGGCGAGGAGCUGGCGGUGCUCGUCGAGCCGCUUCUGGAGCUGCUUCUGCUCCAGCUCCGACCGCCGCACGAAGCUCUUGCCCCCGAAGUCGGCCGUCGCCGCCUUCCGCUUCUUCUCCAGUUCCCGCUUCAGCAGAUCCAUUACGCCCGACGCCCAGUUCGGCUUCGAUUCUCCGAAUUACGGUAUUUGACCGUUCCCGCAAAUAGAAGAGAACUCGACUCGACUUUGAUCGUGCUGUGGCCGUGUGGGCAGACUUUAUAUGCAAGCGAGCGUGCAAGUCCGUUCACCGUGCAAGUCCGUUCACCGGCUAAAAAUAUAUCCGGAUACAGUUGUAGCUAACUAAUUUAGCGGUUUUGGAAAAUAACCAACCCCAAAUCUAUCCAUCUAUCUAUUCAUAAUAUAUCUAUCUAUCUUUUGAUAACUACCCGUCGGACACUCGGACGUGCUUGUUUCUGUGGAUUAGGACAUGGUUGCCCACCACCCUCGGGCACUUGCACAUAGCUUGGCCUACACGUGCACGCAGCUCCUAGGUGGCUGUCUCACGUGUCGUCUUUUUUGGAAUUUAGUUUUUUGGAUUUUAUUUUCACAAUUAUGUAUUUUCCUGUUUCAUUUCAAAAAAUGAAUCUCUACCUCGGCGCCAUCACUAUUGCCGUCGAGCUAGAACGAGUCGACGCCAAUUAAAUUAGCGUGUAUAUGUUACAGUCGACGCCUACGAGUACCUGACGUGGCACUACCUCGGCGCCAUGGAUCUCGGCGCCAUGAAUCUCAGUGCCGAGGUCGGUGCCAUGGAUCUCGGCGUCGACCUCCAUGUUUAUAAAUAUCUCACUUCGGUCGUCAGUUCUUUGUAAUCAUUUCUCUUCUACCAAACGACCAAUAUCAACCUAAAUCAGCGACUUGAAUCCAUUGUUCAUGUGUAUCAAGGUAAUUUCCCUCCAUUUUUUUGGUCUUUUGCUAUGUCUGAUUAAUAGGGUUAGGGUUACCGUUUGGGAAUCAUUUUUAGACUCAUUUUUUAUUGUCAUAUUAUCGAUUUGUAGGAUGUGUAGGCGUGGUAAAUCUGCUAAACAAAGGUAACCGUUGUAUUAGAUGUAAUAACUAAUAUUUGUGAGUCUUAUAAAACUUAUCAAAAUUUAGGAAGGGUCCAUUGACCGGAACUGCCUUCGACCCACUUCCUUUGCCAACUAGUGUUUCAGUGCCUAUGUGUUUUUGUGGUGAUCCUUGCAAGGUUGACAAGUCCACUGAUCAUGACACCUAUCGACAGAGGUAUUGGAUGUGUGCUAACUAUGCAUUUGAGCCAACGAUUGUUCAGCGUCGGAUGAAUUUAAUGGUGAGAAUAAUUUUUUAGUUAGUUCACAGCUUUCAUACGAGGUGGUGCAUGUUUUGUUUUGGUACUAAUCAUUGCAUGUUUUGUAGACUCCUCGACCGCUCUGUGAUUUUGAGCAGUGGAUUAACACAGAAAUCUCACAGAAAGACAAGAAGUGAUUGGAGAAUCUUAAAAAGUGGGAUACAGAGGACAAAGAGAGGAUAGAGAAAAGACGAGAGAAGCUUGCGGCCGAGCAACAAUGGGUAGACAAACAGGAAAUGAGGCAUAUUGCUGAAUGCAGGGAGGAGAAGGAGAAGAAGCUUGAGCGUGCACGUCGUGCAAAAGGACGCAAUAGGGGAGAAUCCAGAUGCUUUUCGCAAGGGCAAAUGGCCCCGUUGCACUCAGUAGUCUAGGUGAUUAUAUGAUGUUAUGUAGUAAUAAACUUCUUAUUAUGUAUUAUUUAGUAUCGAACAAUGUUAUAUAGUAAUGAACUACUUAUUAUGGAUUCAAAUUAGGCACUAAAAGCAAUUGAUGAAGACGACUUAAAGCAAUUGAUACAGAGAAUCAACACACUUAAAGCAAUUGAUACAAAACAGUUUUCUAAUAGUUCAUUUACCAAUGAAUGUUGUAUAAAUGUUUACUGUUAGUUUUACUCUACAACAAAAUCUUAUAGAACCAAGGAUUAUAAUUAAUAUUUACAUAUGCAUAAGGACAUAUGAAGAAACAUCGGCCUCCAUCAAUCCCCCUCUCGACGAACAUAUGCACCAAGCAAUCCUCACCAUGCAUGCACUUCGGCCAAUCUUCUCUCCUGUUAUCGUAAGACUUAAGUCGAACCUUCUUAUUGAAAUCACUUUUACUUUGUACUAGAAAUUCAUAUGAUGCUUCCUCAAAAUAAUUGGGGCCAAGUGGCCCAUCAUAACAAAUUGGAGGUCCCUUCCCCACACCCUUUGCUCUCUCAUUUCUAGAACCCUUUCCUCAAGAUGACCCUGAAACCAUUUUAGCUGGUGACUUCCCUUUGUAUAACACAAUGAACCAAAUGGUCGCGUAUAAAUAGGCCAAUGUCAAGGUGGUAUGUGUUAUGAAAAUGCUAGAUGUUUCUGAAAAGGCUAGGUAUUUCUCAAAAGGAUAGCUGCUUCUAAAAAGGCCAGAUACUUCUGAAAAAGUUAGAUGCUUCUGAAAAGGCUAUGUACUUCUGAAAAGGCUAGAUGUUUCUGAAAAGUCUAGAUACUUAUGAAAAUGCUAGAUAUUUGCCUCUCAUUAAUCCAUGUAUUUGGUUUAGGGAUGUACUCAUAAUGCAUGCCGGGAUUUGCCGCCUUGAUUGCAUUGAGAAGAACAGGCGGUUGCUCGUACCUAGACUCUCAGUCCCCAUAUAUAAUCUUCCAAGCACAUUGCUUAGCCCUCCACGCUUUGCCAUAUGUUAUCUUGUAUCCAUCGCACACAUUCUCCACAAUUCGCAUGAUCGUCCUCACCUUCAUAUUUGGUUCUGACUGCAAUAUUCCCAUAUGUCGCUUCCCAAUGAGGGUAGAGGUCAACUGACGAUGCUUCGUCAUUAGCUCAUGUUCAGCACAGUUGUCCGAGCCCAUAAUUUUUGUUAUCUUCCACUUUCCGGUGAUCUUCUGUUUCAUAGCACUGACCCUCCAUGGACACUGGUCCUUGUCACAUACAAUAGCGUACGCCGCUUCUCGUAUGAAUGAAGCACCCUAUACGACCUCUUACGUAAGACGACAUAAUGUUGCAACCACAUCUUCAAGGCAUUUAGGUCCUUGAAAACCCGACCCAUUUCGAUCAUCAUGCUAGGACCCGCCUCAGGAGCAUCUAGCAACUCAUCAUCCCUCCCUUCUACAAAGGCGUCAUGAGAUAGACUCAGAUCGCUGAACUCAUGCACUCUUGGAUCCCGGUGCUCUAGAAUAACACGCUUCAACAUCUCAAUAUCACUAUGUGUAAGUUCACCAACCGAACGGUUAUCAUCUGAAUCAGCGGACAUAGCAAAGGCAUAAGGCUCCUCUUCAUUCCUAAACUCAGGACUAUUGGAUGCAAUAAUUCCAUCUCCACAAUGGAUAUGUGUUCUGAUCGUAGGAUCAACCAGAACAUCAGGAAUGUCUCCUGCAACAAGGACCAAAAAAAGAAUAAAAUGGCGGCAAUGAAAAGAACAAAGUAGGUAUGCUCGAAAAUGAUGAUCGGCUACAAAGAUACCUACAAAGGGACUUACUCCAAGGGUCCCUACCAAAGGGAUACUCUUGGUAGAAUCUAGGUGUAGGUAAUGAGUUCCAUAAUCAUUUGUAGGCUCACUUAAUGGGAUCAUAUUGGGGGGCAGAUUGAGCAUCAGGCACGGUUGGCACGACCUCAACACCACGAUCAUAGUUUUCAUCUUCAGGGCGAGAGGCAACUAACAAACGUCGUACCACUACAUCCAUGACUUGCUUUUGUGUCUUCAUAGCUGGUUUAACAUAAUUAUCCCACUCUCACUGACACUCAAUUGGGAAGAUAAGUCUUUGCACGUUGGGUAGAGGACCUACGUUUAGCACCCCAUCAACGACGAUGUCGUCAGCAUCAUGACAACAAAUCUUCUCCUUAGCCUUAGCAACCACCUCACUAAAGGAGGGUCUAUCAUCGAAUAUCACAGCCACACGUUGCAUGUCAACAAACUCAGCAUUUCCAUAAUGAUCUUGUUCCACGAUGCAUCCAUGGUAUAUGCCCAAAAAAUUGGCCAUCUAUUUGAAAUACGAAUUCAACGUUGAAUAACCAAUUGUGAUGGUUAGUGCAUAACCCCAUCCACUAUGACUAACUAAUACCUAAGUAUAAACUACCUAGUACCUAAUAAAUAAUUGUAAACUAAUACAAGAUAAUAACUAACUAAUACCUAACUACAAACUACCACCACGCGGUGGAUUAACAAUUUACCAAUAAUAACAAACUACUAACUACUAACGAUUUACCCACUAUUAACCAUUUACCAAUAAUAACUACAAAUCAAUAAGUACAUGGAAAGUGGGUUACUGGGCGGUAAGAGUGUGGCCGGCCACGGACUAGGCGGCGAGUGGCGGUUGCACGCGUCGAACGGGGGCGACGGUUUCAUCAAGUUUCUUGGUGCAUGCUUCACUGAUUCUGAUGCAUGUAUGGCUGGAUCCAUUUUUAGGUUCUUCCUGAUGACAUCCGUCGAGCAUUGCUUGUUAUUGUGGAGUGUUGCAUGAAGCGAGAUUAUCUAGCGGCAAUGGACCAAUACAUCAAGCUGGCAAUCGAGUUUUUAUUAACUUUUUACGCUGAUUUAAUCAAAUGGGCCAACGGGAUAACGGGCUGGUCCGACACAUUCAGCAGACCGGCAUGACGUGCCGGGACCAGAGUUGUGGCCCGUGCCGUGCCGCCGUUUGACCAUCUAAAUGCAUGCAACAGGUUAAUUUGAAAUAACUGUAAGGGAUUAUUUGUAAAAAUAUGACACGGGACGACCGUUAAAACUGGUGCUUUAAGUAUAGUAUAGAAGUAUAGAUAUAGAUUACAGGCCAGGCUGCGAAUUUAGUUUAUCGUGGUGUGGUGACUGAACUUACAAUCAUGCGAUAAAUGUAGUAUGGUUUCCAGAUCUUGUCAGUUGCGGUACUGACACAAUCACACAAGCACCAAAAUUGAUUAAUACGGUAAACAUGGCUGCCGCUUCAUGAUAUAUUGUAAAAAAAUGGUUCUCCAGAAUUUGGCUGAUAUAUUAAUAAAAACUUUGACCGGUCGGAUGUCGCGAUAAAGCGAUUUAAUUAGCAUGCACAAACAGAAAAAGAAAAAAGAUAAAAAAAACAGGCAGGAUUGAUUGUUGAUAUUACACAAGCAUCUCAAGCUCUACAUGUAAUCCAAUCUAGUCUACGAAGGCAUAUGCUGGCAUGAACCGGAGCCUUUCCUCGGAAGCUUUAGCCGAACCAUUCUCUUCCGAUAGAAGCGCCUGCAGGUCACUCCCAUUUGCCAGGCUGUUGAACUCCACUGAUUUUGAGGGCAGUGCAGGGUAACGCCGCUGGGAAAGCGUCAUCAGCCUCUUGAUUGACUGAAGGUACUUGCGAGUGGUCUCGUCAUUCAUGAUGUGGGCGACGCUGUUUGUGUAGAUCUUCUCUCGGGCAGAACGCUCGUGGAUGCCAACCAUAGUCACUCCAAUGGGCCAUGGUGCAUUCCCGAUUGCCA